rnacentral:tRNA from 1 species
GCAUCCGUAGCUCAGCUGGAUAGAGUACUCGGCUACGAACCGAGCGGUCGGAGGU